rnacentral:rRNA from 1 species
UACGGAAUGUGCAAACGUUAUUCGGAAUCACUGGGCUUAAAGAGUCCGUAGGCGGCCUGUUAGGUGAGGUGUGAAAUCCCCCGGCUCAACCGAGGAAUUGCGCUUCAAACCGGCGUGCUUGAGGAAGAUAGAGGUGGGCGGAGCUGAUGGUGGAGCGGUGAAAUGCGUUGAUAUCAUCAGGAACACCGGAGGCGAAGGCGGCCCACUGGGUCUUUUCUGACGCUGAGGGACGAAAGCUAGGGGAGCGAACGGG